AAGAACAGUGUGUGAACACGAUGAUCAAAUGGGUCGUUGACUUAUGUAUUUUUGUAAGAUUAGGAUGUCUCAAUCUAUAUAGAUGAAAUAUUUAGAUCUGAUCAUUAUUCUCUGAGCUUCAGCACAAGAACAGAAGUUGAACGUGUGACACAAGUAUCGACUAAAUGCAGACGAUGAACAGAGCAGGAUGCUGUGUUAAUACAAGUAGUAUUAGUAUGGACAGUAUGUAUUAGUUAAGGUCCAGGACAGAAAGCUCAACACUCUGCGCACUGGGCUUUUGUUCUUGUUUAGAACUCCCUCUACAAAUCGCCAAAUCCCUCGUUUUUCUUUUGUACAAUUCUUUUGCUAUAAUGAGAAUUCUCUCACUGAGUGAAUAAAUUCAUGUGCACUGUCCUAAAUCAAUCUCCUUGUUUUCUGUGACUAUCCCAGCCCGCGGCCAUCAACUCCACCAAAAAUAAAUAAAUAGAAAAUGAUGUACAUAUAAUAGCAAGCACGAGGCUCCCUGUGGUAUUGAUCAGAACUCAUAAAAGGUAAACUUACCUAUCUUUACAUUGCCAGAAGGAUUCCAUCUUAUUCUGAAGAAAAAAGUAUAACCAUUAUUUUCAGUCCCUUAAACUUAUUAACUACCUCAUGCAUGAAUGCAUGAAAGCUUUUAAGGUCCUGCAGAUGCUUUUUCAGAUUCAAUCCAAUCCGUAAAAAUCGAUUUUGCUUAUUUUUGACAUCAUUCAAAUUUCCCCUCAGACAAACAUCUGUGCUGCUGAAUUUACUUUGUAGGUAAUGAGUCGGGGAAUCACCUCAAUUCAUCCACUGACUUGAUCACCAAAUCCGCAUCUUUCUUGGACUUCAUAAUUAGCUCAGCGUUGGGCCUGUCAUUGUAAUCUAUCUGCGGAAAAAUUUCAGCAACGAACAGACAAAAAAUUAUAUAAUACCUGAAGGACAAUAGGAAUUGACCCAGAUGAUACUUAAAAGGGAUUAACAUUGAACCUUUCAUUUUACUUUUAUUUUUUCCAAAUAAGGAUCCCAUGUCAAGAAGAUAAAAGUUGCAGAAAUGAAGAUGUUGAGAUGGAUGUGUGGGCAUACCAAGAAGGAUAAUAUUAGGAACAAAGUUAUUAGGGGACAAGGUGGGAGUAGCCCCGUGGAGGACAAGUUGCGUGAUUCAAGGUUGAGAUGGUUCGGGCAUGUGAAGUGGAGAAACAUAGAUGCUCCGGUUAGGAUGUGUGAGAGGUUGACCAUGGCGGGUCUGAGGAAGGGUAGAGGUAGGCUAACAAGUACUGGGGAGAGGUGAUUAGGCAGGACAUGUCAUUGCUUCAGCCUACCGAGUGUUGGAAACACGUUCUCAAUGCGAUAUACUAAACGUGUAUUCUUUUGUAGGUUUUGAUG
rnacentral:lncRNA from 1 species